rnacentral:tRNA from 1 species
GCCCGGGUGGUGGAAUGGUUUACACGGCGGACUUAAAAUCCGCGGCCGGAAACGGCUUGUGGGUUCGAAUCCCACCCCGGGCACCA